GUUUGGCAGCUCGCUUAAACGCAGUGUACAACCUGGGACGUCACACCCAGAGCUGCCUCUGGCAAGAGGUGUUGUAGCUGGCUUAAGAGGGUAGAUGGAAGCAUCUGCCUCGGGGUGUCUCGCAGAGGUUCAAAGGAGCAAACUGCAUUCUGAAGAGCUGCGUGCCAUGGCAGGCUUUCCACACAAGUGGCUGAGGACUUGAGAUGAGACCAGAGAGUGACAAGGAGCAGCACGUGCAGGGAUGGUUUCCAAGCGCUGCGGUUGCUUUCUCUUCUGUUCAUCAGGUGCCACAGGCAAGGUGAAGAGGUGCCUGGAGCCCCAUGUCAUCUAGCCUGCAUGUGCCUUGAGGAUGAAGCCUGCUUUCCAGCAGUCCCUAAAGCUAAGUUUGGCCCGAAAUGCCCCGUCUGUGUCUUGGGUGGGGUUGUACCUUGGUGUCUUGUGUGAUAUGUGCAUGGGGAUGGCUUUUAAAUCAGUGCAGCAGAGGAACAG